rnacentral:rRNA from 1 species
CACGUAGGGGACGAGCGUUGUCCGGAUUCAUUGGGCGUAAAGCGCGCGUAGGCGGCUCGGAAAGUCGGUCGUGAAAUGCCGGGGCUCAACCCCGGGACUGCGUCCGAUACUCCCGAGCUGGAGGCAGGUAGGGGAGAUCGGAAUUCCUGGUGUAGCGGUGAAAUGCGCAGAUAUCAGGAGGAACACCUAUUGCGAAGGCAGCUCGCUGGGACGUAACUGACGCUGAGGCACGAAAGCGUGGGGAUCAAACAGG